UGGGGAAUAUUGCACAAUGGGGGAAACCCUGAUGCAGCGACGCCGCGUGAGCGAAGAAGGUUUUCGAAUCGUAAAGCUCUGUCCUAUGAGAAGAUAAUGACGGUAUCAUAGGAGGAAGCCCCGGCUAAAUACGUGCCAGCAGCCGCGGUAAUACGUAUGGGGCGAGCGUUGUCCGGAAUUAUUGGGCGUAAAGGGUACGUAGGCGGUCUAUUAAGUCAGGUGUGAAAGCGUGAGGCUUAACCUCAUUAAGCACUUGAAACUGAUAGACUUGAGUGAAGGAGAGGAAAGUGGAAUUCCUAGUGUAGCGGUGAAAUGCGCAGAUAUUAGGAGGAAUACCGGUGGCGAAGGCGACUUUCUGGCCAUAAACUGACGCUGAGGUACGAAAGCGUGGGUAGCAAACAGG
rnacentral:rRNA from 1 species